CACACAACGGGGGAGAACCACCAACGAGCAGGUACAACACACACACACACACAACGGGGGAGAACCACCAACGAACAGGUACAACACACACACACACACAACGGGGGAGAACCACCAACGAACAGGUACAACACACACACACACACAACGGGGGAGAACCACCAACGAACAGGUACAACACACACACACACAACGGGGGAGAACCACCAACGAACAGGUACAACACACACACACACAACGGGGGAGA